UUAUCCUCAUUAAGAUUUAUGACCUUUUUUCAUACUGGUGACCGUGUCCCACUUAGCGGAAUCACUGAAUAAAAGAGACGACCCAUCUGACGGAAAUAAAAGGAAGCGCCUGCCAGGACAUAGAUCAGAUACUCGCUGGACAGAGAAGAACGCAGAGUUAAAGAGGCCUGGGCAUCAACGUUCUGCUGUGUGAUCGUCUCCAUGCUGGCAGCUGUCGAGCUCGUCCCUCCUACAUGGCGGCACAGAACCGCACUGUUAAACUUCAUUCUUCUUUUACCACCUGCCAGUUGUUAUUUUUUGUGUUGCAAGAUUUGGAAUGGAAGAAACAAGAGGAG